rnacentral:rRNA from 1 species
UCCGUAGGUGAACCUGCGGAAGGAUCAUUAAUGAAACUUCAAAGUCGGCCUCGUUCUGUGCUGGUGGUAAUUCACAUGUGCACGUUCGCGGUCGCAAAUCCACACACCCGUGCACCUUAUGACUCUGAGCGCCGCUUUGCAUGGCCGACCGAGAGGGAGACCUGGCGCUCGAGUAACUUUUACACACUCUGAAUGUAAUGGAAUGUCUUUGUGCACUAUGUACAACCAAAAACAACUUUCAACAACGGAUCUCUUGGCUCUCGCAUCGAUGAAGAACGCAGCGAAAUGCGAUAAGUAAUGUGAAUUGCAGAAUUCAGUGAAUCAUCGAAUCUUUGAACGCACCUUGCGCCCUUUGGUAUUCCGAAGGGCACGCUCGUUUGAGUGUCAUUGUAAUCUCACUACAUCGACUUUUGCCGUUGUAUGUGGACUUGGAUGUUGCCGUGUUGCAACGGCUCGUCUGAAAAUGCCUGAGUGUACCCUGUUUUGCAGCGUAUUCGUGUAAUAAAUCUUCACCGGGGAGGUUGGACUCCUCGGAGGUCACGGUUGGGCUCUACAUGGGCUCUAUGGCUUCCAACCGGUCGGUGGGUCCGGACAAUCUUUGGACAAUUUGACCUCAAAUCGGGCGGGACUACCCGCUGAACUUAAGCAUAUCAAUAAG